UCAUCGUUAACUAGCCCGACCCGCCUUGGCGGGCCGCCGGCUUCUUAGCGAGACUUUUGGCUUAAGCCAAAGGAAGUUGGAGGCAAUAACAGGUCUGUGAUGCCCUUAGAUGUUCUGGGCUGCACGCGCGCUACACUGACAGAGGCAACGAGUUUCAUUCCUUGGCCGGAAGGCCUGGGUAAUCUUGUUAAACUCUGUCGUGCUGGGGAUAGAGCAUUGCAAUUAUUGCUCUUCAACGAGGAAUGCCUAGUAAGCGCGUGUCAUCAGCACGCGUUGAUUACGUCCCUGCCCUUUGUACACACCGCCCGUCGCU
rnacentral:rRNA from 1 species